rnacentral:tRNA from 1 species
GGUAGAGCGACGGACUGUUAAUCCGCAGGUCCCUGGUUCGAGCCCAGGUGGGAGAGCCA